rnacentral:tRNA from 1 species
GUGGGUGUAGUUCAGUUGGCUAGAGCGCCAGAUUGUGGCUCUGGAGGUCGUGGGUUCGAGCCCCACCACUCACCCCA